rnacentral:rRNA from 1 species
UACGGAGGGCGCAAGCGUUGUUCGGAAUCACUGGGCGUAAAGCGCGUGUAGGCGGCUUUGCAAGUCGGGUGUGAAAUCCCGAGGCUCAACCUCGGAACUGCACUCGAUACUGCUUGGCUCGAGUCCCGGAGAGGGUGGCGGAAGUCCCGGUGUAGGGGUGAAAUCCGUAGAUAUCGGGAGGAACACCAGUGGCGAAGGCGGCCACCUGGCCGGUGACUGACGCUGAGACGCGAAAGCGUGGGGAGCAAACAGG